rnacentral:rRNA from 1 species
AGAUUGAACGCUGGCGGCAGGCCUAACACAUGCAAGUCGAGCGGUAGAGAGGUGCUUGCAUCUCUUGAGAGCGGCGGACGGGUGAGUAAUGCCUAGGAAUCUGCCUAGUGGUGGGGGAUAACGUUCGGAAACGGACGCUAAUACCGCAUACGUCCUACGGGAGAAAGCGGGGGACCUUCGGGCCUCGCGCCAUUAGAUGAGCCUAGGUCGGAUUAGCUAGUUGGUGAGGUAAUGGCUCACCAAGGCGACGAUCCGUAACUGGUCUGAGAGGAUGAUCAGUCACACUAGGAACUGAGACACGGUCCAGACUCCGUACGGGAGGCAGCAGGUAGGGAAUAGUUAGGAACAAGUGGGACGAAAGGCCUAGACUACCAGCCAGUCGCCG